UUUAACUAGUAUUCCAGUCUUUGCUAAUUGCGAAAGCAUAUACAUGGGAAUCUAUCAGAAAUCCACAUUUCAUGAUUUUUCACCGGUUUAAGGCUGCUUGGACCGACAGCAGAACAGGGAUUCAGCCUGGCACUGAUGGUGAAAUCAGCAGAGGUUGACCCCGUCCACGUUCACAAAGCAUGAGGGUUUACUGAAUGGUUUGAUAAGCAUGUGUUAGACAGCACUCUCUACCACCACCACCACCACCACCAUCAUCAUCAUCACCAAAACACCAACUGAGGGAAUAUCAUUUGGAAGAAUGGUGUUCAUCCCUCCAAUGCAGUUCCAGUAGAAUCUACACCAAGGUGCCGUGAAGAUGUUUUGGUGGCUCAUGAUGGACCAACUCUUACCCAUGAGAUGUAUCACUUCAAAGUAACAUGUGGCCCAGCCUCUGGGGCUGGGGAUUAUUUGUUCGAGUCAAACCUGCGUCACUUGUUUAGGCACGGACUUCUAAGAUUGUUUAAAUCCAAUUGAUGGAUUUAAAUCGUUGGUCAAGACCCACAUAACCUUUGACAGCUUGGAUUGUAUCCCCUCUCAUUGUUAUGUGGUGUUGGAUAACACUGCCAAACUAAUCACUUUAAUGCAGUAAUGUUCACUUUGUGCUCCACUGCAAUGUGUUGAGGUUUGUACUGUGUUCUUUCAGCUAACGGUGGAGAAUUUUGGCAGCGUCUCGCUCUCAUGAGAAGUGGGACCGAGUCAAACCCAAGAGCGUGAGAAACCCACUCCAGCACACGAGACGCUCCCACUCCAAAACACAAAACCCUUUCGAAUGUUCUUUAUUAGCUGAGAAAAGCCCCCCAGACGUUAAGCAGAACAUAUGACUUUAUAAUCUGCUUCGUCUGAUCCUGGCUUUUAGUCUACGGACCAGACUACUGUGUUAAUGUGUGCUUUCACAGUCAGGCUUCACAUUCGAGAAGAAAAUGUGAGUUUCCUCUGUGAUCUCUGAAAAUAGUCUGCACCACAUACACAUCGUUAUAUAUACUAUACGGAGUGGAUACAGCGUGAAGCAGAUAUUCACUUUCAAUCGUUAUGUCUAGUCAGGUGUUGGCGAACCUUCUAUUUUCAUCCUGUGUACACACUCCCUGACAAUACCGUUUAUGUGAAAAAAAUUGUGUGCUAACCUGAAGAGAUUCCAAUGCCGUAACAGUUUUAGAAAGCUUCCACAAAUGUGGAAACUCUUGACUUAAUGAAAUUCCUGAUGUGCAGCCAUUUUUAAAAAAAAAAAUAUAGAAGAACAAGUUCAAAACUUUCCAUACGUCUGAACCGAAGAUAAUUACAAAACAUUGCAAUUUGCAAAUGACCGAAAAAUUAGAAGAAUUUCUAACCAGAUGUACAAACACCAACUUCUAAUACAGCUCCCAGACCCACGCUCAUACUAAAGCAGGACGAGAGCACGCACUCAAUUUAGUUGCCUUCCUCCCUUUCAGUUCGUCACUUGAUUAUUCAAAUUAAGCCAUACAUGAUCUGGAUGGAUAGAAUGUUUCCCAAUGCAGAGGAAAUCACUUGGUUGGUUUUGUCCUUGUUAGUUUUUGUUGUAAAAAAAAAGUAAAUAGAAAUACUGAGUAAUCCAUUUCAACCAUGAAUACUGAUGAUGAUGAUGAUGAUGAUGAAUGAUAUAUAAAGCAAUAUCAAUAAAGAGCACAGGUUGACUCAAAUAAGAGAACAACGUCAUUGUGAAUGAGAGAGUGUGAUCCUCUUAUCCUCCAAUGCAACUUAAACAUACCGCAUAUCUAAAUUCAACCUCAAUCGCAACUAUAAUUCUAAUCAUAACCUCGGUAAACUCUCACUGAGGACGAACAUUCCUUAACUUUAAAACCGAAGUUAACAUAAACUUUAAGUUUCAUACAAGGUCUCAUUUGAACCCUAAAUAUAAAUGAAUGCACUGUCUGUAGAGCUGUGUUAGACAACCUUUAUUACAGAAUGUGUUAUAAACAUUAUAUCCUAGUGCAAAUCACAGGUUUAUAUUAAUGCGCUCGUUCUCAUAUGUUAUCGUUUCUAUAGUAACAGCUCGUUCACAGGGGACUUGUACAACGGACGCUCCACAUAUACCAAGUUUUUUUUUUUAAAAAAAACUUGUCUCAAUGUAAUCAUUGAUCUGGUGAAGUUUUCUCCUGGGUAAGGAGACGCUUAUUUAAUAUUUAUGGAAGGAGUCUCCGGUGUCAGAGGUAACGCUGUAACUUGCACUUUCCCGACAUCUUCAGGACAGAGGAGUUUAUGCUUUAGUCAGUAACAUGACAAGCUACAUCUUAUUAACGUCAAGAGAGGGAAUAGAGAGAGGCUGCUGAGGGAAAGACUGUUCCACCACAUUAAAUGUAGCUAUAAAUGGAUAAAAUGUAUGAUGUCGGAAGAAUCCUGUGGUACGAAAGGAAUAAAGCACACUGACGUGCUGUUAUCGGAAAAUAACCAAAUUCAGAGUUGUAAUAGUAACUCUUCCCAUCACUGAUUAUUUCACUCCAACAGCACAACACACAGGGGUUUAUUCCCAACCAACUUCAUCAUCUUUGGGAAAUCGUGAAUGUUUUGUGUUUUUCCUGCUUUUCCACACUUUAUCAUGCACUCAUCAAGCCCUUCAUGCAGCAAGUCAAGUGUUCCAAGCAGGAAAAGCACUACAGUGCAGUGCAGCAGGACUAAACGAAAGACGUCCGUGUAAAACUGUCUGCUCUCUUCCUCCACUGCCACAGUUUCUUUUCCUUUCACUCGGAGCCUGAAUGGUGCAGAUGAAAGGCAGCACUGUACUUUGCUUUAAAGAAAGGAGGGAGGAUGGAUGAAGGCGCCAUGGCUGUGCGGGAGGUCUGUGAGAAAAGCCUGGUCCUCUAAAAGCGCCGAGCUCUCGACGUCUCCACAGUAACCCAACGACACAGCCAAGCAAUUACGCAUCCGUUCACUGAUUUGCAUCCAAAGCGAGGCCUUUGGUUCAGCUUCCUCUCCGGGUUUUCUGAACAUGUCUGUUUUUCUGCAAAGCGAUUAAAAAAAAAAAAAACCCUCCUGGCUCUGCGAGCACUACUUAACACCAAGCUUUUGUUUCUUUUCGAGAGGGAAUGACUAAUGAAGAGACAUGUUACUUAAGCAGCAAACUGAGGAAGGGCACCGGGAGCGGUUUUCUGGAGCAUGAUACCCAACAGACUUCACGUCUGAUCCAGAAACACAACUGUACACACAUAAUAAUAUCCUGUAGAAUAUCAUCAAAUAUAGCAGACUGGAAUGGAAUGGAGAGCUGUGGACAUGGAUUGGUGGCUCACUUUAAAGUGUUGGUUUUGAAUAUUUUAGGUUCCAUCUAGUACCAUAAAGGGUUCUUCAGUGUUUCCCCUUUCUAGAUAUAAAGGUUCUGCAAUAGAGGGUUCAGGAAUGGGUCUAAAUAAAGCCUGAGAACCCUUAACCUUCCAAAAACGCUUGAAGAACUUCUGAUUCUGCAUUGAAACGUAGGCAAAAAUAAAGAAAAGAGAAGAACAACGGUUCCGUGCCAAGCGAACACGAAUUAUUCAAAGUUUAAAAGCUUCACUUCUGGAUUUCCAUAAAGUAUACCUUUUAAAAGAAAAUUGUACACAAAUAAAUUAAUAAAUGUAGAUAUUUAUAAUUUUGGAGAAUUUUUGACCUCCCAAACAAUGUGCAUUUAUUAUUUAAUUAUUAUUAUUAUUUGUUUGACUAUUUUUUACUUUUUUCAAUCAUUA
ensembl:lncRNA